rnacentral:rRNA from 1 species
AAGAUGAACGCUGGCGGCGUGCCUAAUACAUGCAAGUCGAGCGAGCUUGCCUAGAUGAUUUUAGUGCUUGCACUAAAUGAAACUAGAUACAAGCGAGCGGCGGACGGGUGAGUAACACGUGGGUAACCUGCCCAAGAGACUGGGAUAACACCUGGAAACAGAUGCUAAUACCGGAUAACAACACUAGACGCAUGUCUAGAGUUUGAAAGAUGGUUCUGCUAUCACUCUUGGAUGGACCUGCGGUGCAUUAGCUAGUUGGUAAGGUAACGGCUUACCAAGGCAAUGAUGCAUAGCCGAGUUGAGAGACUGAUCGGCCACAUUGGGACUGAGACACGGCCCAAACUCCUACGGGAGGCAGCAGUAGGGAAUCUUCCACAAUGGACGAAAGUCUGAUGGAGCAACGCCGCGUGAGUGAAGAAGGGUUUCGGCUCGUAAAGCUCUGUUGGUAGUGAAGAAAGAUAGAGGUAGUAACUGGCCUUUAUUUGACGGUAAUUACUUAGAAAGUCACGGCUAACUACGUGCCAGCAGCCGCGGUAAUACGUAGGUGGCAAGCGUUGUCCGGAUUUAUUGGGCGUAAAGCGAGUGCAGGCGGUUCAAUAAGUCUGAUGUGAAAGCCUUCGGCUCAACCGGAGAAUUGCAUCAGAAACUGUUGAACUUGAGUGCAGAAGAGGAGAGUGGAACUCCAUGUGUAGCGGUGGAAUGCGUAGAUAUAUGGGAAGAACACCAGUGGCGAAAGCGGCUCUCUGGUCUGCAACUGACGCUGAAGCUCGAAAGCAUGGC